GCCGAAGUGGCGGAACGGUAGACGCAGCGGAUUCAAAAUCCGCCGCCCGCAAGGCGUGAGGGUUCGAGUCCCUCCUUCGGUA
rnacentral:tRNA from 1 species